AACUCUUAGCACAGGAUCACUCGGCUCGUGCAUCGAUGAAGAACGCAGCUAGCUGAAAGAACUAAUGUGAUUUGCAGGACACAUGUGAUCUGCAGUGACUAUUCAGUGGAAUAGAGUCACUGCAGAUAGAGAGACA
rnacentral:rRNA from 1 species